GGGACUCUGAACAGUUUCACCUUUUAGGCUGUGGCUAGGUGACUAGUUGGCUAGCCAAGACCCUGAACACCGAGGGUUUUGGAUACAGAAGCCAAGCUCUGGGUGCUCUCAUCUUGCUCUCACCCCUUUGUCAUCCAUUCCUACACUUUUCUUUAUUCUCUGACCUCCCCCAUCUCAUCAGAAAGCAUGCACAUUAAGUGGCUCAAAGCUAACUCCAUUUAGGAUUUUAAGAAAAUGUGCGGUAGAAAGAAAAACUACCAACACCUUAAUCUCAUAAUGGGCUUUCUGAAGGGAAGACAGAUGUGACAAGACAGAUUGAGCAUCCUCUGAACAAGGCCCUUCAGCAGAAGCCCUACUGAUGUUCUGGGCUACAGUUUUUGCUAUCACGAGACCUACAUAUGGACAUUGAAGAAGGAAGAUUCACUCUUCUUCACCGCUUGCACUGACUUGCCAGCACAUCUGUUGGAGUCUACUUCUACAGAAGAGCAGCUGAAGCAGCCAGCCUUGUGGGACUGAGCAACUACUAGAUCCUUGGACUUCCCCUCCACAGCUGCCCAUUGUUGGGGAGUUGGACUGUCAGUCAUCAUAAUAAAUUCCCUCAAUAUAGAAA